UACGGGGGGGGCAAGCGUUGUUCGGAAUUACUGGGCGUAAAGGGCGCGUAGGUGGCCAACUAAGUCAGACGUGAAAUCCCCAGGCUUAACCUGGGAACUGCGUCUGAUACUGGAUGGCUUGAAUUCGGGAGAGGGAUGCAGAAUUCCAGGUGUAGCGGUGAAAUGCGUAGAUAUCUGGAGGAAUACCGGUGGCGAAGGCGGCAUCCUGGACCGAGAUUGACACUGAUGAGCGAAAGCUAGGGGAGCAAACGGG
rnacentral:rRNA from 1 species